UACUCUGGUCGAUGAUUUGUG
rnacentral:misc_RNA from 1 species